rnacentral:rRNA from 1 species
UACGAAGGGUGCAAACGUUGCUCGGAAUUAUUGGGCGUAAAGAGCUCGUAGGCGGCUUGUUGCGUCGACUGUGAAAACCCGCGGCUUAACCGCGGGCUUGCAGUUGAUACGGGCAGGCUAGAGUUCGGUAGGGGAGACUGGAAUUCCUGGUGUAGCGGUGAAAUGCGCAGAUAUCAGGAGGAACACCGGUGGCGAAGGCGGGUCUCUGGGCCGAUACUGACGCUGAGGAGCGAAAGCGUGGGGAGCGAACAGG